GGGCCGUUAGCUCAGUUGGUAGAGCAGUUGACUUUAAUCAAUUGGUCGCAGUGUUCGAAUCCUGCACGACCUCACCA
rnacentral:tRNA from 1 species